rnacentral:hammerhead_ribozyme from 1 species
GCACUGCUGAGGUGUCCCAAAAUAGGACGAAACGACCGUCCAGUGC